CGUGUAGGCGGUUUGUUAAGUCUGUUGUGAAAGCCCUGGGCUCAACCCAGGAAGUGCACUGGAUACUGGCAGACUUGAAUACGGGAGAGGGUAGUGGAAUUCCUGGUGUAGGAGUGAAAUCCGUAGAUAUCAGGAGGAACACCGGUGGCGAAGGCGGCUGCCUGGACCGAUAUUGACGCUGAGACGCGAAAGCGUGGGUAGCAAACAGGAUUAGAUACCCUGGUAGUCCACGCCGUAAACGAUGAGUACUAGGUGUUGCGGGUAUUGACCCCUGCAGUGCCGCAGCUAACGCAUUAAGUACUCCGCCUGGGAAGUACGGUCGCAAGACUAAA
rnacentral:rRNA from 1 species